UACGAAGGGGGCUAGCGUUGCUCGGAAUUACUGGGCGUAAAGGGCGCGUAGGCGGAUAUCUAAGUUGGGGGUGAAAUCCCGGGGCUCAACCUCGGAAUUGCCUUCAAAACUGGAUAUCUUGAGUUCGGGAGAGGUGAGUGGAACUCCGAGUGUAGAGGUGAAAUUCGUAGAUAUUCGGAAGAACACCAGUGGCGAAGGCGGCUCACUGGACUGGUAUUGACGCUGAGGUGCGAAAGCAUGGGGAGCGAACAGG
rnacentral:rRNA from 1 species